rnacentral:rRNA from 1 species
AUUGCCCGCUGGCGGCAUGCCUAACACAUGCAAGUCGAACGAGUGGCGGACGGGUGAGUAAUGUCUGGGCACCUGCCUGAUGGAGGGGGAUAACUACUGGAAACGGUAGCUAAUACCGCAUACCAUCGGAUGUGCCCAGAUGGGAUUAGCUAGUGGGUGGGGUAAAGGCUCACCUAGGCGACGAUCCCUAGCUGGUCUGAGAGGAUGACCAGCCACACUGGAACUGAGACACGGUCCAGACUCCUACGGGAGGCAGCAGUGGGGAAUAUUGCACAAUGGGCGCAAGCCUGAUGCAGCCAUGCCGCGUGUAUGAAGAAGGCCUUCGGGUUGUAAAGUACUUUCAGCGGGGAGGCGUUACCCGCAGAAGAAGCACCGGCUAACUCCGUGCCAGCAGCCGCGGUAAUUC